UACAGAGGUCUCAAGCGUUGUUCGGAUUCAUUGGGCGUAAAGGGUGCGUAGGCGGCGCGGUAAGUCGGGUGUGAAAUCUCGGAGCUUAACUCCGAAACUGCAUUCGAUACUGCCGUGCUUGAGGACUGGAGAGGAGACUGGAAUUUACGGUGUAGCGGUGAAAUGCGCAGAUAUCAGGAAGAACACCCGUGGCUAAGGCGGCUCUCUAGUACGGUACUGACGCUGAGACGCGAAAGCGUGGGGAGCGAACAGG
rnacentral:rRNA from 1 species